rnacentral:lncRNA from 1 species
GGGGUGGCCGCGGCCCCGGGUCCAUCUUCGGGGUUGGCUUUCAGGGGCCGCCGAGCUAUGUCCGGCUCCUGGGAGCGCGACCAGCAGGUUGAGGCGGCGCAGCGAGCCCUGGUAGAGGUGCUGGGGCCUUACGAGCCUCUGCUGAGCCGGGUUCAGGCAGCCCUGGUGUGGGAGCGGCCGGCCAGGAGCGCCCUGUGGUGCCUGGGGCUGAACGCGGCGUUCUGGUUUUUUGCACUGACAUCCCUUCGUUUUGUAUUUUUACUUGCAUUCAGCUUGAUGAUCAUUGUCUGUAUUGACCAAUGGAAGAACAAAAUUUGGCCUGAGAUAAACGUGCCGAGACCUGACGCGUUGGACAAUGAGAGGUAUGGAGUGGCAGUUACUUCACUUC